UCAUAUCCAAAAAUAUUUGCUUGAGAGAGGUGGGGUGCAUUCCCUCUUUCUUUCUGUAGGCAGGAAGAAGAGUGGAAACAUUAUUUAAUUCUCAUUGUCCUCUUUGCCUCCAUUUUUAGGACAUUUGUGGACUUUCAUCUCCUGUAGUGACAACCUGAUACCUCCAAUCAUACAGUACAUGAAAGAAGGUACAACUCAUGGACAUAUGUGGGAGAAGGUGUCACCUAUUGGUAAUGAUCCAUGGAGUCUGCUGUGCUCAGAAUUAUAGCCUGGUUUAUGGUCUCGUCAAAUCAGAGAAUCACAGAAUGGUUGAGGUAAGAAGGGACUCUGGAGGUCAUCUGGUCUAACCCUCCUGCUCAAGCAGUGACACCUACAGUUAUCUCCAGCAGAGAUCCUGGAAGUGCACUGAAUGACAGUGAGGACAAUGAAGGGCCUGAUGAAGAGCCAACAGCUGUGUGAGCAAUUCUAUUUCUACCCAGGGCACCUGGAGGCUUCAGGAGCCCAAACAGCUGCCUGCUGCUUUGAGUCACUAGGAGCAAGCUAACACACUAAGAAGGAGCCCUGCUGUUGCUUCAUUACUGUCUGAUUAGAGCAAUUACAUUGGACAAAACAACUAAGGAGCAUUUUAGAGAUCUAAACAUAUGUGGAUAGUGCCAUAUUAAAUGCCCUAAGGCAUCCUCCAGUGCCCUGACUGCAGUUGGAGAGUGAGGAAAGUCUCAGAUAUUUUAAGGACUUUUAAAAUUGCCUAUGCUUAAACACCUCAUUUGAUCUCUUUUCUCAAAGUUAAAUGAGCCCUGCUCUCAGCUCUGAUUUACCUCAGGAAUUUAAUUGCUCUCCACUCCCCAUACAGAGAGAACUGGAGAGAGAUACUCAGUUUACCUAAAAUCUGAUCCCCCACACUGGAGAUGUCUAUGCAGUGCUGAAGUUGAGCGUAAAUGCUGGUUGAUGACAUUUAUUACUCAGAUUACAAGUAUACUUAGUGAUUAUCCUAUUUUUCACAGUCUACCCAAAUAGAAAACCGGCAAACCUUAAUCUCCUCCAUUAUUUUUUUUUUUGGUGUUUUGUUUUGUGUUUGUUUGUAUUUUUUUUUCCUUCUCUUAAAUAAGCAGACAAAAUUACCAGCUCUUCAGCAUGCUUCUCCAGCUUGGGCUCAUUUUUAUCCACAGUGGAAGUCCACUGCCUCCAUUAAAGCUCUAAAUUUCAUGGCACUUAAAUCUGAGCCUCACUGCUCCAGGGGAGGUAGCUCUCACAUUUUUAAAACCAGAAUCUUGACUCCGUGCUGGAAGAGGCUGCAAUCUUGUUGAUUUUCAGUAGCGUGUAUGUUACUUGGUGAAAGAGAUGAAGUCAAAGCGUCCAUCCUACAUUUCUCCAUCCUUCGUUAUAACCAGGUUUCAAGUCCAGCUGGCUUACUUUGGUAUCCCCGGAAUUCGCCUUAAUCAAACACGACAAGUAUGAAAUGUAGCACAUUAGAGAGCAGUUUCACCUUCUGAGACGAGACAUUGCCCAAACUUUACUACACCAGAAAGUUCCCUACCUAGGAUCACGUGGAGCUGCAGUAAUACUGCCGGUAUAGCCGAGAGGUCAAACACCCUUCGAGCAGACGUCUGGGAGUGAGGACAGUCAGGCUCAGGUCUCUGCCCAGGACAAGCCAGUUCAGCUCUGUGGUUCACCUUACUGUACUGUAGGGUACUACUUCAAAACCAGGUAUCCUUGAGACUUAAUUUCAGAUAAACUUAUCAUGAAAAAUUCCACUGGUUGAUAAAAUUUAUCACUUUACUUGAAUCUUAUUUCUUUUAAGCUCUCUUACAACAACAAUAAACAAAUAACUUCAAAAGUA